GUGGCAAGCGUUAUCCGGAAUUACUGGGCGUAAGGGUAGUGCAGGCGGGGAAGCAAGUGGUGUAUGAAAUCUCCCAGCUUAACUGGGAUAGGUUAUGCCAGACUGCUUUGCUUGAGGCCGGGAGAGGCGAGUGGAAUUCCCAGUGUAGCGGUGAAAUGCGUAGAUAUUGGGAGGAACACCAGUGGCGAAGGCGGCUCGCUGGACCGGUACUGACGCUGAGGUGCGAAAGCGUGGGGAGCAAACAGG
rnacentral:rRNA from 1 species